GUAUCUCUGUAAAAUCCUCUUUGAUGUUCUCAGUUUGGAUGGGCUUGUUUAAUGCUAAAACCGGAAACGUGAAAAAAAUGGAGCAUUCUUGGACAUAGGAAAUUGGCUGUUCAGCAAUGCUGGCUGCUUCAACACAUGCAUCUUGGACAUUCUAGGCCAGUUGCAGUAGACUUGUGGUAUGCUGUCAUCUAAAACUUGGAAUGCAUUUGUCUGUUUGUGCGCCAUAGCUGAACCAAGGGCCAAUGGUGGGUUUGUCAUGGUCUUUUGUUGGUUCAAGCAUAGAGCCUUAGCCUUGUAGUGUGGUGCACUGUGAGCAAGGAAUGAGCAUACUCUUGUGGUGGUGCUGCAGUUGAUGUUAGCAGGUUUGGAUUGGUUGCAAAGUUGUAGUCUCAAUUGACUGUGGUGCUUCUGUUAUUGGCCUGGCGUGCUUCAAGUUUGCAAAUAGGUCCAUAUGCAUGAUGGUUCCAGCUGGCAUGUUGAACUGUUUGGUCCAGUUUCAUUGUUCAAUAGCAAAUUGGAUGGUUCGUGGCAAGGUUCAUCACUGGUUUAGGUUUGCACUGCAGCUUAGUUCAUUGCUCAAUUACUUGGUGGCAGCUUGGUGAAUUUGGUCAUUGAUUUUAUAACAACAAGGUUGGAUUUUAAAGCAACAUGUACCAUUGGUUAUUCAAGGAUCAAAAUGGAACAUGGAAGGUUAUGGUUAGAAUAUGGAUUGUGCUGGCAUUUGCUGUUGUUUAUCUUGCAGGUCAUGUGAGCUUGGACUCUGUACCGCAAGUGUGGUACCAUUCCAGCAGAAGGAAUUGUUUUCAAAAUGUUUCUACAGGCUGUGAAUAAGCAUGUUUAGGUUGCUGCUGCUGAUAGCUGUUAUAGUAGCCUAAGUAUCCCGUACUGCUGCCAUAGCCAUAUGGAUUAGAAGAGUUUGCAUAUGAUGUGUGGCUGCGGAUGCUGAUCAUACUGGUAGGUUGGAUUAGAAUAAACUCCAUUUGCCGUGGAGCUCUGAACAGUCCAUGAUAUAGCUUCAGGCCUAGAUGUCGUGGUAGCAUAUGAAGAUGUCUUGAUGUUGGUU